AUUGAACGCUGGCGGCAGGCCUAACACAUGCAAGUCGAGCGAGCGGCGGACGGAUGGGUAAUGUCUGGGAAACUGCCUGAUGGAGGGGGAUAACUACUGGAAACGGUAGCUACUACCGCAUACCAUCAGCUGGGCCCAGAUGGGAUUAGCUUGUGGGUGGGGUAACGGCGCACCUAGGCGACGAUCCCUAGCUGGUCUGAGAGGAUGACCAGCCACACUGGAACUGAGACACGGUCCAGACUCCUACGGGAGGCAGCAGUGGGGAAUAUUGCACAAUGGGCGCAAGCCUGAUGCAGCCAUGCCGCGUGUAUGAAGAAGGCCUUCGGGUUGUAAAGUACUUUAAGCGGGGAGGCGUUACCCGCAGAAUAAGCACCGGCUAACUCCGUGCCAGCAGCCGCGGUAAUUC
rnacentral:rRNA from 1 species